rnacentral:rRNA from 1 species
GACGAACGCUGGCGGCGUGCCUAAUACAUGCAAGUCGAACGAGUGGCGGACGGGUGAGUAACACGUGGGAACCUACCCAUCAGACGGGGAUAACACUUGGAAACAGGUGCUAAUACCGCAUACUGACGGAUGGACCCGCAGUGAAUUAGCUAGUCGGUGGGGUAACGGCCUACCGAGGCUAUGACGCUUAACGGGUCUGGGAGGAUGAUCAGUCACAUUGGAACGGAGACACGGUCCAGACUCCUACGGGAGGCAGCAGUGGGGAAUAUUGGACAAUGGGCGAAAGCCUGAUCCAGCCAUGCCGCGUGUGUGAAGAAGGUCUUCGGAUUGUAAAGCACUUUAAGUGGGGAGGCGUUACCAACAGAAUAAGCACCGGCUAACUUCGUGCCAGCAGCCGCGGUAAUUC